CGCCUCUUGCAAAAUUAAUAAAUAAGAGGUCCCGCCUGCCCUGUGACUAUAUGUUUAACGGCCGCGGUAUUUUGACCGUGCAAAGGUAGCGCAAUCACUUGUCUCUUAAAUGGAGACCCGUAUGAAUGGCACAACGAGGGCUUAACUGUCUCUUCUUUCAAGUCAAUGAAAUUGAUCUCCCCGUGCAGAAGCGGGGAUAUAUACAUAAGACGAGAAGACCCUGUGGAGCUUUAGGCACCAAGGCAGAAUAUGUCAAGUACCCCAAACUAACGACUAAAACAACUUAUACCCUGCCCUAAUGCCUUCGGUUGGGGCGACCACGGGGAAACGAAAAACCCCCAUGUAGAAUGGGAAGACGAUUCCUAAAACCAAGAGCCACCGCUCUAACUAACAGAACCUCUGACUAUACAAGAUCCGGCAAUGCCGAUUAACGGACCAAGUUACCCCAGGGAUAACAGCGCAAUCCCCUUUUAGAGCCCUUAUCGACAAGGGGGUUUACGACCUCGAUGUUGGAUCAGGACAUCCUAAUGGUGCAGCCGCUAUUAAGGGUUCGUUUGUUCAACGAUUAAAGUCCU
rnacentral:rRNA from 1 species